rnacentral:rRNA from 1 species
AAUGAACGCUGGCGGCAUGCCUAACACAUGCAAGUCGAACGAUACCUUCGGGUCUAGUGGCGCACUGGUGCGUAACGCGUGGGAACCUGCCCUUAGGUUCGGAAUAACUCCCCGAAAGGGGUGCUAAUACCGGAUAAUUUCUUCGUACCAAAGAUUUAUCGCCUUUGGAUGGGCCCGCGUUUGAUUAGCUAGUUGGUAGGGUAAAAGCCUACCAAGGCGACGAUCCAUAGCUGGUCUGAGAGGAUGAUCAGCCACACUGGGACUGAGACACGGCCCAGACUACUACGGGAGGCAGCAGUGGCGAAUAUUGGAAAAUGGGCGAAAGCCUGAUCCAGCACUGCCGCGUGAGUGAUGAAGGCCUUAGGGUUGUAAAGCUAUUUUACCCGGGAUGAUAAUGACAGUACCGGGAGAAUAAGCUCCGGCUAACUCCGUG